CAGUAGCGUAUAUUAAAGUUGUUGCAGUUAAAAUGCUCGUAGUUGAAGUUCGGAUGCAGCAGAGCUUGGAAACGCUGUUAUGGUGCUUCCGUUGCUUUUGCUUGUCCACAGUGCGUUGCAAGUACGUAUGUGCUUGUGCGUGCAUUUUACUUUGAGAAACAUAGGGUGUUCCACGCAUGUUACGGCAUGAAUAUUCCAGCAUGGGAUAAUCUGGUACGACUUCCAAUCUGCCAUUUUGGUUCGUAGGUUGGAAGUAAUGAUUAAUAGGGACUGUCGGGGGCAGUGGUAUUUGACUGUCAGAGGUGAAAUUCUUAGAUUCGUUGAGGACCAACCACUGCGAAAGCAUUUGUCAAGGAUGUCUCCAUUAA
rnacentral:rRNA from 1 species